rnacentral:lncRNA from 1 species
AGCUAACAUGAGCAGCUGACCUCUUAUUCCUGAUUUCUUGUUUAUUAUGACAUAGUCUGCAGGUAAUUUUCCCUCCAUACACUCCGUCUACUUCAUUACUUAUUCCACAAAUUGCGUGGACAACCUUUCCGCAAUCACACCAGAAUCACAGUCCUUGCUACCAUGUGCAUGCCUCCAUCACACUGGAAUCGACAGCUGCGCCACCUACCGAACAGUCUUGUAUCAGCACAUCGAACAUUGGCCAGGGAUUUCCUGGCACUUCGGGAAGUGGCCGGCCAAAGUAACAUAUACGCUAAUCAUUUCCAGUACAUCGGACAUUUGCCAAACUCCACCACCAAAGUGCAAAAUGGACGGCCAAUUCGGGAACUGGCCGAACUUCGGGCUUUGGCCAUAACAUAUAUAAAAAGCUAAGUUAAUGUUAAUUAUGCUAAAACUUUCUUGUAUUCGAUUCUGAACAUGACUUCCACACAUUAUUUAUAGUUGCUGGGUCUAUUUUAUUAACUGCUUUAAUCUGUGAGUUUCUAUUAUUAAAAAUUGUCACUGCUAAACAAAUAAAUGAAAAGGAUUACUUUCUUGCGAACUACUAU